rnacentral:rRNA from 1 species
AUUGAACGCUGGCGGCAGGCCUAACACAUGCAAGUCGAACGGUAACAGGAAGCAGCUUGCUGCUUUGCUGACGAGUGGCGGACGGGUGAGUCAUGUCUGGGAAACUCCCCGAUGGAGGGGGAUAACUACUGGAAACGGUAGCUAAUACCGCAUAACGUCGCAAGCCCAAAGAGGGGGACCUUAGGGCCUCUUGCCAUUGGCUUUUCCCAGAUGGGAUUAGCUAGUAGGUGGGGUAACGGCUCACCUAGGCGACGAUCCCUAGCUGGUCUGAGAGGAUGACCAGCCACACUGGAACUGAGACACGGUCCAGACUCCUACGGGAGGCAGCAGUGGGGAAUAUUGCACAAUGGGCGCAAGCCUGAUGCAGCCAUGCCGCGUGUAUGAAGAAGGCCUUCGGGUUGUAAAGUACUUUCAGCGGGGAGGAAGGGAGUAAAGUUAAUACCUUUGCUCAUUGACGUUACCCGCAGAAGAAGCACCGGCUAACUCCGUG